rnacentral:rRNA from 1 species
AUUGAACGCUAGCGGCAUGCUUUACACAUGCAAGUCGAACGAGUGGCGGACGGGUGAGUAAUGUAUCGGAAACUGCCCAGUAGCGGGGGAUAACUACUCGAAACAGUGGCUAAUACCGCAUACUAUUGGAGCGGCCGAUAUCGGAUUAGCUAGUUGGUGGGGUAACGGCUCACCAAGGCAACGAUCCGUAGCUGGUUUGAGAGGAGGACCAGCCACACUGGGACUGAGACACGGCCCAGACUCCUACGGGAGGCAGCAGUGGGGAAUUUUGGACAAUGGGGGAAACCCUGAUCCAGCCAUCCCGCGGGUAUGAGAAGGCCUUCGGGUUGUAAAGUACUUUUGGCAGGGAAGCGGUAUCUGCAGAAUAAGCACCGGCUAACUACGUGCCAGCAGCCGCGGUAAUAC